AAAUAGUUACUAAUAUUUUAUUACCAAUUUAUCCACUUAAAAGCCCAAUGGCCUGAUGGAAAACUUCCCAUCUACCUCCAAUAAAAAUGUCCUGUAGUUGGACCGGGAGCUGAUAUUGUUCAUCUAUAAAUUUAAAACUCGAUUCAAAAUGUAGAUACCAAAGACAGAUAUGCAUAAACACAAUUCACCUUCAUCAUCCCAGCUACAAAAUACUCAAAUUCUAUGGUCUUCUUAACUCGUUUCUUUAGGGAAGAUAACUUCUAAGGCAAGACAAACAAGUAAUUUUGGCGUUUCCAGGAUCAAAAGGCAUGGGAAAAAGCCAAUAAUCAGGAUAACCACAGAUUUCAAUAUAGCGUUUAAGCCACUAUGCCAAGAGGAACUAAUUAUCCCCCAGAACUGGUAAUAGACGCUUUCUCUAAUCCAUUAAUUUACAACUAAAUUACAAAACAAAGGUUCAAAGAAAUUGAUGGAAACCAUAAUAAUGGGGAUUAAGGGCUCAUUGGAAGAAGUCGAUUAAAAAAAAAGAGGGCACACGGCAAAUCUUCCACAAAAUGAAAGACCCAAUCCACUGCCCGUUCUUAUCUCAUCAUAUUCCCUUUUUAAACUCAACUAAAAUUAAAAAAAUCCAAAAGAAUUUUUCAAUUAAUAUUAGGAAAGGCUUCGGUGUGUGUAACAAUCAGAUCAUUGAUGGCAAUAUCUCACUGAAAUCCGCUAAGACAAUUUUAAAUUAUCAUCAUUAGCCUCCACCAUUCAACAGAUAAAAACCCUCCCCCAAAGAAAACCAUAACUAACAAAAAAACUUCAAAAAAAAAAGAAUAAAGAAGGUUACUCAGACAGCCAAGGGUUAGUCUUCAACUACUGGGAAAACCCAGAUCAGAAACUCUAGUCCACAAAAAAUUGCAUCAUCAUUGCAAUCUUCUUUAUAUUUUCAAGAAAAUAAAAACCAUUGCAAAACUUGAAAAGCACAAACAAAGAUAGAUAACAGAAAAACAUAAGCUACUUUAGGACCUAUCAAGAUAGUUAACAGAAAUCACCGUCUUGAGAGUGGUGCACCCAUAAUGAGCAAGCAUCCACUCCACUGCCUAACAAAAUUCAUCUCAACUUCAAAAUAUGAGCCAACUGAAUUUCUUAGAAAAACAAAGAAACAAGCUCCUAAUCACGGAUUUAAAUUACGGUCGCGGUCAGUCGCAUUGUGUUUAUCAAGGUUGCAAACAUAACAAAUGCUAUUGCAGUAAUUGCGGAUAUCACAGUCAUGAAUUUUACACUACUUAUUGUGUAUUGCGGUAUAACGGGUUUCAGACAGUGCCGCCGCUAUAGCGGUAACAGACCACUAUUUAAAUCCCUGCUCCUAAUCUUCCCAAAACAAACAUUGUCCCAGCAACUUAAAGAACUCCCUUACUCUAAAACUCAACCUACGCCAUUCUCAUCAUCUUCUUCACAGUAAAAGAAAGGUAAGUUUCUUCUUGUUUAGAUUAAGCAAUUUAUGCUUUGGGUCUGAUACCAAAGAUAAAUGAAUAAUCAAUUUCCAGUUCACUAUUCAAAUCCAAUUUCGAAUCAUAAAACAAAAUCCCACACAUUUUCCAAUUUCGAAUCAUAAAAGAAAACUAAGAUGUCUAGAAGAAAGAUCGAAGAAUAUACACCAACAAACAUUCUCCAUUAUCUAAGAUCGUUUAAUUUACAAAGUCCCCCAGUUCAGACAAAAUACUCCAUUUAUAUCGUCUUCUCAACUCCUUUCUUGAAAGAGGAUAAUUCUCAAGGCAAGAAAUACAAGUAUUUGUGGCGUUUCCAGGAUCAAAAGACAUGGGAAAAAGCCAAUAAUCAGGAUAACCACAUAUUUCAAUAUAGCGUCCGAGCCAUUAUGCCAAGAGGAACUAAUUAUCCCCCAUAAUUGGUAAUAGACGCUCUACUUAAUUACCCAUUAAUUUAAAACUAAAUUAUAAAACAGAAGGUUUAGAGAUAUUAAUGGAAAAAAUGGGAUUUUAGAGCUCAGUGGAAGGAGAAGUCGUUUAAAAAGAGGGCUCACGGCAGAUCUUCAAAAAUUGAAAGAUCCAAAUCCACUGCCCAUCAACACUUGAGUGUUUUUACCUCAUCAUAGCAAAAAUCAAAUCCCCCUUUAUUUCCUCUGAAUUGAAUUUAAAAAAAAUCAAAAUCCAAAAGGAUUUUUGGUUUUACUAAAAGGAAGGCCUCAGUGUGUGUAACAAUCAGAUCAUUGAAAAUAAUAUCUCACUGAAAUCCGCUAAGACUAUUUUAAAUUAUCAUCAUUAGCCUCAACUCCACCAUUCAACAAAUCCAAACCCCCCCCCCAAAGAAAACCACAACUAACAAAAAAAACUUUGAAAAUAAAUAGAAUAAAGAAGGUUACUCAGACAGCCAAGGGUUAGUCUUCAACUACUGGGAAAACCCAGAUCAGAAACUCUAGUCCACGAAAAAUUGCAUCAUCAUUGCAAUCUUCUUUAUAUUUUCAGGAAAAGAAAAAUCAUUGCUUAACUUGAAGAUAACAAUUGAAAAACACAAACAGAGAAAAAACAUAAAAGAGAAAAUUGAAAAACACUUGCCGAUCUAAACUUUUUUUUUUUGAUGAAACAAACAACGACGAAGAGGAGAAGAAGAGAGGUGAGACUAUUGAUGGGAAGGGUGGUUCAAAGGAGAAUAUAUAUAGUGCGAGUGAGACCUGAAAUUAGGGUU
rnacentral:lncRNA from 1 species